GCGCACAUGAGCAAGAGAAGAUGAGGUAAAGAAAACCAAAACGAUCUACUUGAAGGUGGAGAGGGAGUAAGAUCACUAGAAAGCAGCAUGCUGCCAGACCACCAAUUGACACUAGAGGCGCCUGGUGGAGGUGAAUAAAACAAUACUCCAAGGCAGGUCAUAUCCCUGCAUCCAGUUUGAGGCCUGCUACAGGCAGGAACAUGGAGCAUUCCAUGUCAGUGCUAAAGAGACAUAAUAUUCCAAAGCCUUCAGCCCAACUACUGUACCUGCGAUCUCUCCAGAGAACAGAGAA